AUUAAUUAUAUGUACACACU
rnacentral:snRNA from 1 species